GUGGGGAAUCUUGCGCAAUGGGCGAAAGCCUGACGCAGCCAUGCCGCGUGGAUGAUGAAGGUCGUAGGAUUGUAAAAUCCUUUCACCGGUGAAGAUAAUGACUGUAGCCGGAGAAGAAGCCCCGGCUAACUUCGUGCCAGCAGCCGCGGUAAUACGAAGGGGGCUAGCGUUGCUCGGAUUUACUGGGCGUAAAGGGCGCGUAGGCGGACAUUUAAGUCAGGGGUGAAAUCCCGGGGCUCAACCUCGGAACUGCCUUUGAUACUGGGUGUCUUGAGUAUGAGAGAGGUGUGUGGAACUCCGAGUGUAGAGGUGAAAUUCGUAGAUAUUCGGAAGAACACCAGUGGCGAAGGCGACACACUGGCUCAUUACUGACGCUGAGGCGCGAAAGCGUGGGGAGCAAACAGGAUUAGAAACCCUGGUAGUCC
rnacentral:rRNA from 1 species